rnacentral:rRNA from 1 species
CCCUUAGAUGUUCUGGGCGGCCCGCGCACUACAAUGGCGCUUUCAGCGAGUUCCUAUGUUGAAUUUUCCUGGGUAUUCUUGGAAGCGGCGUCUUGACUUGGGAUAGAUCCUUGUAAUUGUUGGUUUUGAACGAGGAAUUCCUUGUAAUCGCGGUUGAUCAGCUCGCGUUGAAUACGUCCCUGCCCUUUGUACACACCGCCCGUCGCUCCUACCGAUGAAUCGUCCGGUGAAGUUCACAGAGUGGCGGUUCGUGGAGCUGCUCGCGAAGUGAAAUGGACCUCACGAUUUAGAGGAAGGAGAAGUCGUAACA